AGUUAGCGCACUCUAUAAAAGAAGAACGGAGUGCCCGGAAAGAAGCCGAGAAUGCCCGGCGGGAAGCUGAGAAUGCCAGGCAGGAAGCUGAACAAGCUAAUAAAGACCUCGCGGGAAAAAAUAAAGAAAUGGAACAAUUUACUUACAUAGCAUCGCAUGAUUUGCAGGAACCGCUGAGAACCACUUCGAGCUUUGCAGGAUUGCUUCAGAAGCAAUACCAGGGAAAGCUUGAUGAAAAGGCAGACAAAUAUUUUACUUACAUCAUUGAUGCUUCCAACAGGAUGAAGCUGCUGAUAAAAAACCUGCUCGAUUUCUCAAGAAUAGGUAUUAAUAAAGAAUUAGAAAAGGUGGAUUGUGAUAAGAUGCUUCAUAAUGUGCUUGCUGAUCUUG
rnacentral:misc_RNA from 1 species